UACGAAGGGAGCUAGCGUUGUUCGGAAUCACUGGGCGUAAAGCGCACGUAGGCGGAUGUGUCAGUCAGGGGUGAAAUCCCGGAGCUCAACUUCGGAACUGCCUUUGAUACUGGGGGAUCUCGAGUCCGGGAGAGGUGAGUGGAACUGCGAGUGUAGAGGUGAAAUUCGUAGAUAUUCGCAAGAACACCAGUGGCGAAGGCGGCUCACUGGCCCGGUACUGACGCUGAGGUGCGAAAGCGUGGGGAGCAAACAGG
rnacentral:rRNA from 1 species